UACGGAGGGUGCAAGCGUUACUCGGAAUCACUGGGCGUAAAGGAUGCGUAGGCUGUAAUAUAAGUCAGGAGUGAAAUCCAACGGCUCAACCGUUGAACUGCUCUUGAAACUGUUUUACUAGAAUAUGGGAGAGGUAGAUGGAAUUGGUGGUGUAGGGGUAAAAUCCGUAGAUAUCACCAGGAAUACCGAUUGCGAAGGCGAUCUACUGGAACAUUAUUGACGCUGAGGCAUGAAAGCGUGGGGAGCAAACAGG
rnacentral:rRNA from 1 species